GAUGAACGCUGGCGGCGUGCUUAACACAUGCAAGUCGAACGAAGCCAGGAGUGCUUGCACUUAAGGCUUAGUGGCGGACGGGUGAGUAACGCGUGGGCAACCUACCUUUUACUGGGGAAUAAUCACUGGAAACGGUGACUAAUACCGCAUACGGUCACGAUACCGCAUGAUAUUGUGAAGAAAGGAAUUAUUCGGUAAAAGAUGGGCCCGCGUCUGAUUAGCUAGUUGGUGAGAUAACAGCCCACCAAGGCGACGAUCAGUAGCCGACCUGAGAGGGUGAUCGGCCACAUUGGGACUGAGACACGGGCCCAAACUCCUACGGGAGGCAGCAGUGGGGAAUAUUGCACAAUGGGGGAAACCCUGAUGCAGCAACGCCGCGUGAAGGAAGAAGGUUUUUCGGAUCGUAAACUU
rnacentral:rRNA from 1 species